UUUAAAGAGAGUUUGAUCCUGGCUCAGGACGAACGCUGGCGGCGUGCCUAAUACAUGCAAGUCGAACGAACGGAGGAAGAGCUUGCUCUUCCAAGGUUAGUGGCGGACGGGUGAGUAACACGUGGGCAACCUGCCUGUAAGUUGGGGAUAACUCCGGGAAACCGGGGCUAAUACCGAAUGAUA
rnacentral:rRNA from 1 species